CUAAUAGGAUAUCUUUGUGAAAGCCAUUGUAGGAAGAAUGCAAAACAGCCCUGCAAGAGUUAACAUAUGAUGGUGGAAUAUAAGAAAUGAUUCCAAAGUCAUCAUAGAUCAACUUUCUUUAAUCAACCUAAACAUACACUUACUGUUAUUGUAUCAUCUGUAGCCUUACAACUCACUCAGCUGCAUUCCAGAGCAGCGUUUCACUCUUCUGCGCUCUCCCCCAACCUGGGCUACAACUACUCAUUACAUAUUUCAAGGUGCCGCUUUUUGACUUUUUGUAUGCUCAGAAAUCCUUUCCACUUGGACUUAUCACAGUGAAGAGUCGGGCAACCAACUAAACGGAAGCCUAAACCAACAGGUAAAGUAAGAGUAAACCUCAAACUCUGUUGUAAUAACAGGUUUGUCUUCCUUCUGUCUGAUGGAAAUCAGAAUGUAGGAGCUUUUACUGCUGGCUAACACUGCAUGGAGACAGGUAAAGUAAGAGUAAAAACUCUGUUGUAAUAACAGGUUUGUCUUCCUUCUGUCUGAUGGAAAUCAGAAUGUAGGAGCUUUUACUGCUGGCUAACACUGCAUGGAGACAGGUGGAUAGAGUGGCAGCCAUGUUCUUCUGAGUUUGAUUGACAAGACAAGAUGGAGCUGAAGGUGUGGGUGGAGGGUUUGGUAAGGGUGGUGUGCGGCUUAUCACUGGAGACUCCCUGUCAGGAUGUGGUCAUCGCCCUCGCACAGGUUAUUGGUCAGUCUCUGUCGGAUGUAAUUUCCUUUGUAAUUUCCUCCAAUCUCACUCCUAUCUUGGUGUGUCUUUUCUACAGGUCAGACGGGUCGCUAUGUUCUCAUCCAGAAGCUACGAGGAACAGAGGGGCAGCUUGUGGCUGAUGACUGUCCCUUAGAGUCUCUAUUCUAUCUGGGUCAGCUGGCCAUCAAGGUCAAAUUCAUCUUGCGUUAUACAGGCCCCUCCAGCACUGACAAACUUUACAGACCCACCCUGGAUAGGGUUCACCCAUAGAAAAAAGGGGUCCAAAAAGGAGAGGUGUCAGGUGCUGGAGAAGCCGAACAAGAAGUAACCUGCAGCAAUUCAUCCUGCAGACGGGUCUUCCCCCUACCCCCUCUUACUCUGACCCAUCCCUGACCCAAAUAUUUUAUGAAAUAUUCAUUUUCUACAGAUUUUGCAAUAAAGAUGACUUAAUGUA